GGGGGCCCGCACAAGCGGCGGAGCAUGCGGAUUAAUUCGAUGCAACGCGAAGAACCUUACCAAGACUUGACAUAUACGAGAACGGGCCAGAAAUGGUCAACUCUUUGGACACUCGUAAACAGGUGGUGCAUGGUUGUCGUCAGCUCGUGUCGUGCGAUGUUGGGUUAAGUCCCGCAACGAGCGCAACCCUCGUCCUAUGUUGCCAGCACGUAAUGGUGGGAACUCAUGGGAUACUGCCGGGGUCAACUCGGAGGAAGGUGGGGAUGACGUCAAAUCAUCAUGCCCCUUAUGUCUUGGGCUUCACGCAUGCUACAAUGGCCGGUACAAAGGGCUGCAAUGCCGUAAGGUGGAGCGAAUCCCAAAAAGCCGGUCUCAGUUCGGAUUGAGGUCUGCAACUCGACCUCAUGAAGUCGGAGUCGCUAGUAAUCGCAGAUCAGCAACGCUGCGGUGAAUACGUUCCCGGGCCUUGUACACACCGCCCGUCAAGUCAUGAAAGUCGGUAACACCCGAAGCCAGUGGCCUAACCCGCAAGGGGAGGAGCUGUCGAAGGUGGGAUCGGUGAUUAGGACUAAGUCGUAACAAGGUAACCGUAAGGGC
rnacentral:rRNA from 1 species